rnacentral:rRNA from 1 species
UGGGGAAUAUUGCACAAUGGGCGAAAGCCUGAUGCAGCAACGCCGCGUGAGGGGACGACGGCCUUCGGGUUGUAAACCUCUUUUAGGCAAGGAAGAAGCGAAAGUGACCGGUACUUGCAGAAAAAGCGCCGGCUAACUACGUGCCAGCAGCCGCGGUAAUACGUAGGGCGCAAGCGUUUAUCCGGAAAUUAUUGGGCGUAAAGAGCUCGUAGGCGGUUUGUCGCGUCUGCUGUGAAAACCCGAGGCUCAACCUCGGGCCUGCAGUGGGUACGGGGCAGACUAGAGUGCGGUAGGGGGAGAUUGGAACUCCUGGUGUAGCGGUGGAAUGCGCAGAUAUCAGGAAGAACACCGAUGGCGAAGGCAGAUCGUCCUGGGCCCGUAACUGACGCUGAGGAGCGGAAAGGGUGGGGAGCAAACAGGCUUAGAUGACCCUGGUAGUCCACCCCGUAAACGUUGGG